AUUGAACGCUGGCGGCAGGCCUAACACAUGCAAGUCGAACGAGUGGCGGACGGGAGAGUAAUGUCUGGGAAACUGCGCGAGGGAGAGGGAUAACUAAUGGAAACGGUAGCUAAUACCGCAUACCAUCGGAUGUGCCGAGGUGGGAUUAGCGAGUGGGGGGGGUAAUGGCUCACCUAGGCGACGAUCCCUCGCUGGUCUGAGAGGAUGACCAGCCACACUGGAACUGAGACACGGUCCAGACUCCUACGGGAGGCAGCAGUGGGGAAUAUUGCACAAUGGGCGCAAGCCUGAUGCAGCCAUGCCGCGUGUAUGAAGAAGGCCUUCGGGUUGUAAAGUACUUUCAGCGAGGAGGCGUUACUCGCAGAAGAAGCACCGGCUAACUCCGUGCCAGCAGCCGCGGUAAUAC
rnacentral:rRNA from 1 species